UACGUAGGCGGAAUAUUAAGUCAGUGGUGAAAUCCUGCGGCUCAACCGUAGAACUGCCAUUGAUACUGAUAUUCUUGAAUGUAGUUGAGGUAGGCGGAAUGUGUAAUGUAGCGGUGAAAUGCUUAGAUAUUACACAGAACACCGAUUGCGAAGGCAGCUUACUAAACUAUGAUUGACGCUGAGGUACGAAAGCGUGGGGAGCGAACAGGAUUAGAUACCCUGGUAGUCC
rnacentral:rRNA from 1 species